rnacentral:rRNA from 1 species
GCCAGACUCCUACGGGAGGCAGCAGUGGGGAAUAUUGGGCAAUGGGCGAAAGCCUGACCCAGCAAUGCCGCGUGAAUGAAGAAGGUCUUAGGAUUGUAAAAUUCUGUCCUAUGGGAAGAAACAAAUGACGGUACCAUAGGAGGAAGCCCCGGCUAACUACGUGCCAGCAGCCGCGGUAAUACGUAGGGGGCAAGCGUUAUCCGGAAUUACUGGGUGUAAAGGGUGAGUAGGCGGCAUGGUAAGCCAGAUGUGAAAGCCUUGGGCUUAACCCGAGGAUUGCAUUUGGAACUAUCAAGCUAGAGUGCGGGAGAGGAAAGCGGAAUUCCUAGUGUAGCGGUGAAAUGCGUAGAUAUUAGGAAGAGCACCAGUGGCGAAGGCGGCUUUCUGGACUGAAACUGACGCUGAGGCACGAAAGCGUGGGGAGCGAACAGGAUUAGAUACCCCAGUA